rnacentral:tRNA from 1 species
UGGGAGAUAGCUCAGUGGUAGAGCGGCUGGUUGAAGCCCAGCGCGAUCCGUGGUUCGAUCCCACGUCUCCCAACCA